AUGCUCGAGGUUUUGGAGGUGCCGUGGACGGUGGUCGGUGGUAAGGCGGCUGGCGGGUGCCCGGGGCCGCCGCGGAGACAGGCGCUGCAAAGCAGCUUGGCGCACCCCAAGGCGGCCACGCGGUCGCCGGGGGCGGGAUGCAAGAAGUGCAAUUCCGGUGCGAGCGGCCCGCGGCGCAACGGCGCGCGGGCGCGGAGCAAGGAGGAGGCGGUGGUGCCUGCCGCGUGCACUGGCGUUGUCGCCGUCGCGCCAGCGGAGCCGCCGCCGGUGUCGAGCAAGGGGCUCGAGCUCUGCCGCCGUCCGGGGUUCGGGAAGGCGGGCACGCGCUGCGUGGUGAAGGCCAACCAUUUCCUCGCGGAGGUCGCCGACAAGGACCUCACCCAGUACGACGUCAAGAUCACGCCGGAGGUGAGGUCGCGGAGCGUGAGCCGGGCCAUCGUGGCCGAGCUGGUUCGCCUCUACCGCGCGUCCGACCUCGGCAUGCGCCUCCCGGCCUACGACGGCCGCAGCAACCUCUACACCGCCGGCCGCCUCCCCUUCGACGCCCGAGAGUUCGUCAUACGCCUCGCCGUCGACGACGACGGCGUCUCCAGCGCCACCGUCCGGGAGAAGGAGUACAAGGUGGCCAUCAAAUUCGCUGCCGGCGCCGACCUGCGCCACCUCCGGGAGUUCAUGGCGGGGCGGCAACCCGAUGAGCCGCAGGGGGGCCUACAGGUCCUCGACGUCGUGCUGCGGGAAGUCGCUAGCCAGAGGUACCUCUCCGUAAGGCGGUCGUUCUACUCGCCGGACAUUAGGACGCCGCAGAGGCUCGGCGAUGGCUUGCAGUCGUGGUUCGGCUUCUACCAGAGCAUCCGGCCGACCCAAAUGGGAUUGUCACUCAACAUCGACAUGUCGUCCACGGCAUUUGUCGAGCCGCUGCCGGUGAUCGAUUUUGCGGCGCAGAUCCUGGGGAAGGAUGUCAUGUCAAGGCCGUUGUCGGACGCGAACCGAGUCAGGAUAAAGAAAGCUCUACACGAUUUGAAGGUCGAAAUCACUCACCGGGGAAGUUUAAGACGGAAAUACCGUGUCUUCGGCUUGACAGCGCAACCAACUCAUGAGCUAAUUUUCCCAAUUGACGAUGAAGUGAAAUCGGUUGUAGAGUACUUCAAGGAAAUGUAUGGUUUCACCAUAAAGCAACCACAUCUUCCCUGCCUUCUUGUAGGAAACCAAAAGAAGCCAAAUUAUCUACCAAUGGAGGUCUGCAAGAUUGUUGAAGGUCAGAGAUACAAGAAGAGGUUGAAUGAAAAGCAGAUCACAUCAUUACUGAAAGUUACAUGCCAAAGGCCUGGAGACAAGGAAAUGGAUAUUCGACGGACCGUUCACAAAAAUGGAUAUGAUCAAGAUCCCUAUGCGAAGGAAUUUGGGAUAAACAUAAGCGACAAACUCACCUCUAUUGAAGCAAGAGUUCUGCCUGCACCCUGGCUAAAAUAUCAUGAUACCGGAAAAGAGUCAGAGUGCUUACCUCGUGUUGGCCAAUGGGACAUGAAAAACAAGAAAGUUGUCAAUGGAUGCACUGUGAAUCAUUGGGCAUCCAUUAACUUCUCAAGAAGUGUUCAAGAAAGCACUGCCAGUGGAUUUUGCCAGGAGUUAGCCCAAACGUGUAAACUUUUAGGCAUGGAGUUCAACAGCGAGCCUGCUAUACCAAUGUAUUCGGCUAGACCAGAGCAAGCAGUACAGGCGCUUAAGCAUGUGUAUAACGCUGCACUGAAAAAACCCAAGGGAAAGGAGCUUGAGCUUCUUUUGGUAAUCCUCCCUGACAACAAUGGUGCAUUGUAUGGUGACAUAAAGCGCAUUUGUGAGACCGAAUUGGGAAUAAUGUCACAGUGCUGCUUAGCAAAGCAUGUAUUUAAGAUCUGCAAACGAUACCUGGCGAAUGUCUCACUCAAAAUCAAUGUUAAGAUGGGGGGAAGAAAUACCGUACUCUUGGACGCGGUAAGUCGGAGAAUCCCAUUGGUCAGUGAUGUACCGACAAUAAUAUUUGGUGCGGAUGUAACGCAUCCUGAAACCAGAGAGGACACCAGUCCAUCAAUUGCUGCGGUUGUUGCUUCUCAAGACUGGCCAGAAGUUACAAAGUACGCUGGAUUGGUGUGCGCUCAAGCUUAUCGGCAAGAGCUCAUCCAGGAUCUCUACAAAACAUGGCAUGAUCCUCAGCGAGGCACUGUCACCGGAGGCAUGAUCAGGGAGCUUUUAAUUUCCUUCAGGAAAGCCACAGGGCAGAAACCAUUGAGAAUAAUCUUCUACAGGGACGGUGUCAGCGCAGGACAGUUCCAUCAAGUAUUACUUUACGAGUUAGAUGCCAUCCGCAAGGCUUGUGCAUCUUUAGAACCAAAUUACCAACCUCCAGUGACGUUUGUGAUAGUCCAAAAGCGUCACCAUACAAAACUAUUUGCAAACAACCACAACGAUAAAAGCAGCACCGACAAGAGCGGAAAUAUCCUGCCUGGCACCGUUGUUGAUUCAAAGAUAUGCCAUCCCACACAGUUUGAUUUCUACCUCUGCAGCCAUGCUGGAAUCCAGGGCACCAGUAAGCCAGCACAUUAUCAUGUUCUGUGGGACGAGAACAAUUUCAUGGCGGAUGAAAUGCAGACUUUGACGAACAACCUUUGCUACACGUAUGUGCGUUGCACACGAUCUGUUUCUGUCGCAGUGCCGCCUGUUUACUACGCUCAUCUAGCCGCAUUCCGGGCACGUUUCUACAUGGACCAAGAUAGCCUCUCGGUGAAGAAUGCCAACGGGAGGAAUGGAGGCGCCAUGAAGACUAUGCCGGCAGUGAAAGAGAGGGUGAAGAGGGUGAUGUUCUACUGCUGA
rnacentral:rRNA from 1 species